UACGAAGGGGGCUAGCGUUGCUCGGAAUCACUGGGCGUAAAGGGUGCGUAGGCGGGUCUUUAAGUCAGGGGGGAAAUCCUGGAGCUCAACUCCAGAACUGCCUUUGAUACUGAGGAUCUUGAGUUCGGGAGAGGUGAGUGGAACUGCGAGUGUAGAGGUGAAAUUCGUAGAUAUUCGCAAGAACACCAGUGGCGAAGGCGGCUCACUGGCCCGAUACUGACGCUGAGGCACGAAAGCUAGGGGAGCAAACAGG
rnacentral:rRNA from 1 species